rnacentral:lncRNA from 1 species
UUUUUUUUUUUGUAAGAAUUUGUGUUGUUUAAGCGGAGAAUGAGAUGAAUUCUAUGGCUUUAUUCAUUUUUAAGAGUUUUUGUUGUUUUACGCAGUGGGUGGGAAAUGGUACCUCUUUUAAUUUUAUUUCAUCUUUCGUCAAAUACAUAUAUAUAUAUAUAUAUAUAUAGAAAUUAAAAUAUUGACAUGUAUAUGACACUUAAAUAAUAAUAGGCCACAUAGACGCGAAAUCAGUUUUAAAUUGAUCGGAAUGUUCGUCAUGGAAAAAAAUAGAAAACACUAAGUUGGUGAUUUAGAUUCAAAAAAUAAACUUCGAGGAAAAAAUUAGAAAAUUACUGAAAGUUUGUGUAUUUGCCCCGCUAAUAACCUUUUUAUAAUAUUGAUAAAUAGCAAUAGUGUUAAUCGUGAAUGUACGCAAGAUAAACAAACACUUAAAGGAAACAUUUUGAUUUUCAAGGCACUUUAAAUCCUCAAGUUAUCUCUCUUUUACAUUCAAUCAUCUUCGCUUCCCUUCAUUUAUUUAUAAACUAGCAUUUGCAUCCCAUGCAAUGCACGGGAAAACAUUUUUAAUUUUUAUAUUUAUAUAAAAUUAAUACUAAUUCAAUUAUUAUAAUUAUAAAUAUAAUAAAAAUUAAUUUUAAUAGAAUAUUGAAAAAAUAAAAAAGAAUUCACAAUUAUAAAAAUUUGAUAUAAUGAAAAAAAGUUAAAAAUAAAAUACUAAUUAAAAAGAAUUAAAAAUAUUUUAAUUCAAAAAAGAAUGAGAGACGACAGAGAAAUUUAUAAAAACUUUAAAUAUUUAAAAAAAAAUUCAAUUUUUUGCAUUUUAAAUCAAAUAUUUUCAUAAAAUAUAGUACUCCCUCCGUCCACCAAUUAAAGGCCUAUAUGAAAAAACACGGGUUUUAAGAAAAAAUGUAUUUUUAUCAGUUGAGUGGAGAAAGGGUCCCACUUUUUAAGAAAAAGUGUAUUUUUAUUAGUUGAGUGGAGAAAAUGUCCCACUUUUUUGUAAAGAAUCUUUGACUUUUUUGAUUAAAUAAUGAAUAAAAAUUUACCAAAAAUAGGUAGGCCUUGUUUUUGUGGACGGACCAAAAAGGCAAGUAGGCCUUGAAUUGGUGGACGGAGGAAGUAUCAUAUUAAAGCUCUUAUCGUGAUCUUUAAUUUGAUAUGCAUAUUAAAUAUUUUAUAAUUAAUCAAAUUUUCAAUUUUGGAAAGAAAUGUAACAACAUAUAAGAAAGAAAAUAAAAAUAAAAAUAAAAAAAUAUAAUUUAAACAUAAACCUUCAAUUUUAUUAUAGCCACAAAAUUACUACUCAAUUUUGAAAUCAAUUUGAAAUUAAUUUUAAAUUGAAAACUCCCAUUUUAAUAUAGUGUAAAUAUAUGAAUCUACCCACUUUGAUAAAAUGUCAAUGGAAACUACCCACUUUGAUAAAAGCAGCUUUGAUGUUGAUAGGUAGACAUUGAAUUUUGCAAAAGUUCUUACACUUUCUUACACAAGUACAAUUGUGUAAGAAAAUGUGUAAGAUAGGUAGUUAAGAAUGGUUCAAAAUCUGAGAAAAUGACAUUAAUUGCUAACUCACGUCAGUUUCAAGCACUGUAGGUUUGAAAAAUUUGAUAAAAUAGGCUAUGUUUGUGCGUUAUAAAAUAUCAAUACGCAGGCAAAAAAUUUCAAAUUUAUGUAUAUUGCGAACAAAAAAUAUUCUAAAGCCAAUGGAGUAACAAGCCUCCCAUAAACCCUAGCCGCCUGCAUAAGCCGCGAGGUAUUUUCACACGCGGCUUUUGCAGGAGNCAAACACGACUGAAGCCUUACUUGGAUCAGUUAAGUCCAGUAACUAACUGAUAACUCAUUACUGAAGAGCUUUCAGUAUCAGUCGUCAAUCCUGUUGGUCAAAAACUGAUUUCAGUAAAACAUGAGUCCUUGUUUGCGUGCAAAGUUUCAUUUUGAUCUCUGACUGAGAUCCCUCUGAUUUAGGUCAGCAGAUUAAGGCAAAAAUAGCCUAUAGGUGUAUUCCCCCCCAUACACCUAUUCGAGACCCUCAGGACCUAACAUUGCUAACUCACGUCACUUUCAUGUACUGUAGGUUUGAAAUUUUGAUAAAAUAGGCUACGUUUGUGCGUUAUAAAAUAUCAAUACGCAGGAAAAAGUUUCAAAUUUAGGUAUAUUGUGAACAAAAAAAUAUUUUAAAGCCAACGGAGUAACAAGCCUCCCAUAAACCCAAGCCUCCUGCAAAAGCCGCGCGUUAAAAUACCCCAAGGCUUAUGGCUAGGGUUUAUGGGAGGCUUGUUACUCCAUUGGCUUUAGAAAAAAUAAUUUGUUCACAAUAUACCUAAAUUUGAAUUUUUUAGCAUUUUUAUUAAUGUUUUAUAACCCACAAACGUGCCCUCAUUUCGUAUUUAUUUAUUUUAUAUAUAUAUUUUCUGAAAAAAUACAUAUGAAAGACCCAAAAUGAUGAUAUUUAUAUAAAUAAUUAGAAUGACCCAAAAUAAUUCACGGAUAUAUAUACUGGAAAUAAUUCACAACAAAUAAACAAUAGGAAUCCACAUUGAUUUGUAGUAAUCCACAUUGGAACCAAAAAAAGAUAAAUGCGCCUUUUGAGAUAGAUUGGACGGCAAGCUCACGGGUUUUGCAAAGGGGAAUUUGACCCAAUGAGUACAAGAGGAAUUCAAGGCUUUUGUUAUUGUAAGGCUCACGGGUUUGAAAGAGAAUCUCACGUCCACUCAAGGCUUGAAAGAUAUCUCACGGGUUUGAAAGAGAAUUCAAGGCUUUUGUAAUUCAAGAGAAUCUCACCCUUAGGUUAAAUAUACCCAAGCCGCCCCACUCAUUCAAACCAAAGCCGCCCCUUUGCAAAUUUUGUGCUCCUUCAAGAAUUCAUUCGCGGCUUCAAGAAUACAAGGCUUCAAGGCAUACUCCAUGGCUUCUUCCUCAAACCAAGUAAGCAUCGAAUCUCCUUGAGCAUAUUUUAUGUAUUUUAAGCAUGUUUAUUCGUAUAAAUUGAGCUUCUUCUUUUUUUGAGGCGAUGAUUGACUGUUGAAGCAUGUUUGUUUAGAACCGUUGCUUUAUUUUACUUUCUUUGAUUUUUUUAGUUCGGUGGAUUUGAUUUUUGUGAAUAGGGAUAUUACUUUGGUGGAUUUAUUUAGUGUAUACAGACAAUUCUCGUAAUUAGCUAAUGGAGCUUUAUAUUAGUUUGGUGGAUUUAUUAGUUUAGGUCCUUUUAUAUGUUAAUUACGCAUAAAAUAAUAACAUUUUUUAGGUUUUUCAUAAUUAUAAAAUUAAAUACAUAUUAUGUGGGGCGAUCAGUUGAUUUCAGGGUCGCCGAGCAUUAAGUGGGGCGAUCAGCAUGCCACUGACUAUAGGCGUAAGAUAGCCAGUAGCAUCUUCGAGUUUUGCGUACCAGCUGAUAUUUGAUUAUGUAGUUUUGACAUUUUUAUGACUAUUUUAUGAAAAAACAAUCCUAGUUGCUUGAUAUUUGAAUAUCUGUAAUUCAAUAUUUCAUUUCACUUUUUGAUCAAUUGAAUCUUACAUAAAAGUGAAAAAUAAGCUGAAUUAACCAACAAGCCUCCCAAAAAUGAAGGUCUGGAGGCAUAAGCCUUUGACCAAAACGUCAAAGGCUUUUAGCGCCGGCAUAUCAUUUUUGGGAGGCUUGUGGGUUUUUUCAGUCUUAUUUUUCAGUUUUAUGUCAUGACCAAGGCUUCAUAAGUUAUAUUAUGUCAUGUACUCAACUUUUGUUCUAAACAUUAUAUGUUUGUCAAACUUCUCAGUCAUAAUUACAACUCAUAGUUGUCAUGACAUGUCAAUGGUGGUCAUAACUAUAGAAGUCUAAUUCUAUUACAAUUUGUAAAAUACUGAGAGUUGAAAAAACUUCUAAAACAUCAUAAAAACUCUAAAACUCCAACAAGCCUCCCAAACAUUUGUGUGGGCGAUCACAAGCCGCCCAUAAAAUGAUGAACGCUUUUGCUCGUGCACUCAACUUUUUGGGAGGCUUGUUCAAUGUUAGAGUUUUUAUGAUUCCUUAAAUAUAUUGCAAUUGAUAUCCCAAAGAAAACCAUUUAUUAUUAUCCGUCAUGAACAUAUCAAUUAAUCCAAUAAGUGUGAAUAUCUGUAAUGUUAUUUUUCACUUUUAUAUCGAUUGAAUCCUAUAUAAAACAUGUAAUUAAUAUGAAUUAACCAACAAGCCUUCCAAAAAUGAAGGUCCUUCGGCACAAGCCGUGCACAAAAAAAGACAAAGGCUUGUUCUUAAGUACAAUCAUUUUUGGGAGGCUUGUUUGUUAAUUCAUAUUAAUUCCAUGUCUUACAGAUAAUUGUUUUCACAAUAUACAUAACUAGGAAGAAUAUGAGAUAAUCACCAUGAAUAUAAUGUAAAACAUGCUCUUUUAAUUUAAAAACCUAAACCAAUACAAUACAAACAAUGAAAACGAAUAAUUUAUACAAGAAUAUGAGAUAAUCACCUUUUGAGGCAGAAAUUCAACACAAAUUGCACCACCUCUCGCAAAAAAUCACUUCUCAAAUCUAUGAGUAUUUGAAUUUGUGUAUUCUCAUUCACACAUAUGCAGCCUUUAUAAGGACUAAUAUUAGAUUCCUUACAAAUUCACGUGAAAUUUAUUGUUCAUUUAGUACAAUUCAACCUAUUAUUUCAUGUGCAAUGGAAUGCAUGCAUAAAGUGAGCAUUAAAGCCUCACUACCAUCCAACCUUUUGCAGAGUCACAUUCUCUUACAUUUCAUGUCAGCAUGUACUUUUUUUCUGAAAAAUUAACAAAAAAAAUACAAAUACAAAAUAAGGAUAUGUAUGUUACGUUGAAACAUUCAUGACAAUGCGAAAAAUUACAAAAUAAUAUAUAUUGUGAAACUAAAAAGUAUUUCCUACUAGCAGACCAACAAGCCUCCCAAAAAUCGUUCGCGGGAAUCACUAGCCUUCGGUGAAUUUACACGAGGCUAGUGACGCCGACUAAUAGUUUUUGGGAGGCUAUCACAUUUUUAGCUAGAUAACAUUAUAUUGGUUCAGAAUAUAUGAGGUUGGAUAUUUUUAAUUGAUAAUUUCCUAUUAUUUUAUGUGCAAAUAUAUAUAUAUAAAAAAAAUACAAAAUGAGGGCACGUUUGUGGGUUAUAAAACAUUAAUAAAAAAUCUAAAAAAAUUCAAGUUUAGAUAUAUUGUCAACUAAAAAAUAUUAUAAAGCAAUGGAGUAACAAGCCUCCCAUAAACCCUAGCCUUAAACCCUAGCCUUCUGCAAAAGCCGCGCGUGAAAAUACCUCGAGGCUUAUGCAGGCGGCUUGGGUUUAUGGGAGGCUUGUUACUCCAUUGGCUUUAGAAUAUUUUUUGUUCACAAUAUACCUAAAUUUGAAACUUUUUUCCUGCGUAUUGAUAUUUUAUAACGCACAAACGUAGCCUAUUUUAUCAAAUUUUUUAAACCUACAGUGCUUGAAACUGACGUGAGUUAGCAAUUAAUGUCAUUUUCUCAGAUUUUGAACCAUUCUUAACUACCUAUCUUACACAUUUCUUACACCAAUUGUACUUGUGUAAGAAAGUGUAAGAACUUUUUCAAAUUUCAAUGUCUACCUAUCAACAUCAAAGCAAAGUGGGUAGUUUCCAUAGACAUUUUAUCAAAGUGGGUAGUUUUAUUUUCGUACCAAUUUAAAAAUUACUACUAUUUAUGAAAAAGUUAUAGAUUCAAUUGCAAAACUUUUCAGUCAUGAAUUUUUAUAUAAUUAUGUUUUAUAUAAUGUACUUUUUAUAUAAUGAUAUUGUUUAAUCAUGCAUUUGCUAAACUGCCAUGUAAUUUUAUUUAUUAUUGUACUAAUGUCAUUGUUAUAUUUUAAUCAUUAGCUCACACUUAAUUUAAAAAUUUUGGUUCACAAAUGUCCACACCUAAUAUAAAAAAUUUAGUCUCUUAAAAGUUCAAAUAUAAUAUUGCUAAAAGUUCAUAUUUAAAUAGUUAAAUAUCCCAAAUUUAUUUUUUAAAAUUUCAAAAUAAGUACACAUACAAAUAUAUUUAUGUUAAAAGUUCAUAUUUAAAUAGCCUAAAAUUAAUUUAAAAAGGAAAAAAUAGUAAAAAAAAUAAUCAACAAAAUCGCAAAAUUUAAUUUAUGGUCAAAUUUAAUCAAUAUAUAUACAGUACAAUAAGCUAUAAUUAGGAGUAUUUACUUAACAUCUUUGAGGUUUUAUUUGGGUAUACGAAAAAGCAAAAUAAAAGCCCUAAUACUAUUUCACCCAUUCCAACCAUCCCAAUCCAGCGCCGUUGCGUCAUCUUCUUCUUACUUUCUGCGUCAAGACAGCAACAAUAGCAAAGUGAAUAAGAAAGAUUUGGCAGCCACCGCACUGAAGAAAGUGUCGCCGCCUCUCGCCGAAUUGACGAUUAAGAGGGCCGAUCUAACAGCUGGAGGAGAUUCUGUACCGAAAAGGUCACGCUGGCGGUCGAGCCGCCUUCGUUCAUGGUUUUACUGUUAUCGGUGCUAUAGUUCAUUUUUCUUUUUUCUUUUUAUAAAAAUUUUGCCUUUUUUGUGCAAUAUAUGUGUGAUAAAUAUCAAUGGAAGUUUUUUGAUGUUAAAUAUUGUGCAUAAUUAGGGAAAUAUUGUGGAGAUCAAGCAUCUUUAGUCGAAAAAAUGAGAUCUGAGAUUUGAUUCAUUUGAAUAAAAUUGUCGAUUUGAAGAUGUUAGAAUUUGUCCGUGUGUAUGCUGAAUUCUGCUUCUUCUUCUUUUUCCUUUAGAUCAAUCCCACGUUUAUUUAAACGUACCUACAAUUUUGAAAUUAAAAAAAAAAACUAGUCAAAAAAAUUGCCGGGAAUUUCUAGCCGUUAGAACUGCUGCUUUAUAUAUAAUAUAGAUAAAUUAGUUUUAUUUACAAAUUUAGACAGCGUAGAAAUUGUACUCGGUUAAAGAUAAUGACGUGAAAAUCAUAUUAAUUUAUUAGAUACUAAUAUAUCAAUAGAAAAAAAAAGUAUUAUUAUCUCACAAAUUAUGUUUCUUUUAUUUAUUAUCAAGUACAUCGAUAUAGGGUUAUAUAAAUAUUUGGGGUUAGAUCGUUAACUUACACACAAGCAAUAAAAAUAUGAAAUAACAAAUAGUACCAAUUAUAAUAUUCAUGUUUCUGAGAAAAAAAAAAAUAUAAAAUAAUCUUCUGAUUGAGCUUGAUUUUAAAAUAUUAAAUACGAGUCUCGAUUUUGUCAUAUUUUGAUCAACUCUUUAUGACCAUAUACCGACAUGCAGUUUAUCAAGACGCCAACUUUAUUUAAAAUCAAAUUUUUAAUUAGUUUGCAAAUCUUACCAAAGAUUAUGCUGGUUGUCACUGUUAAGCAAAAAUCUCAUCUUACGACACUUAAUUUUUUUUUUUUUUUGACUUGUAAAAUAUGUUUUGUUAUAACAAUUGUGUGGUUUGAGUCGAUUUCUUUCUCUGAUUUUCUUCUUAGCUGUUGAAAUUUUUGUCAAGAUGAUUUCAAAUGGCAUUAAUCCCUAUUUAUAGUCGUGGGAUAUAAAAAAUAUUCAUAUAUAUGUUCUAUUUAAUUGGUUAAUAUGAACAUGAUUUGCGUCUCAUGCAUGAUUAGUUACAAAAAAAAAUGGCAAGUAAUUUCAAUUUGCAAUUGAACACGUGGCAGUUUAUGAUUUGCCGAUGAUACAUAAAUUGAGAUAUAAUUAUUUAAAUAUUUAUUUAUAAUUUAACUUUGAUUAAAUUCCAAAUUUUAAAUUAGAUUGCACAAAAACUUGUGUCUAACACAUUUAAUGUGAGUGAUUUUAUUAAUGUUUUGAUUAAAUCUUGAGUUAACUACAAAGGUGCAUGUGCAGCACCAACUUUUUAGCAUGUUUCUAGCCAUUCCACAUGGAAUUAAAUUACACAUGGCCACAAGGAAAAAAAUAAUAUACAUAACCAUUUUUUUUUUAAUAGGUAAGAAAAAAUAAUACAAAAGAAACAAAACAAAACAUAUUGUUGAUUAAAAAUUCUCAUUGAUUGUUUUAUAAAAUGUGAAUAUUCUUCUCAUGGAUUUGGUGCAUUGUACGUGUUGAUUCUUCACAAAAAAUAAUAGAUUUGACUAUGGACACACACAAUCAACAAAAUCACAUGAGAUCCAUAUAUAUGCAUAAAAUAUAUAUACAUACAAUGAAUUGAAAAUAUUGUGAUAAAAAAGAAUGAAUAUUAAAUGUGACAGUCCAUAAAAUAAGUUAUUCUUGAACCUACUUAUGCAAUGGAUGUCCGACAAAAGUUUAUUUAAAAGAUUUUAUAAACUUUUAAAUAAAAUCUCAAGUAUGUAGGAACAUGUUGUUGGGACCUUGGAUAGAAUAACAUAACAAUAUUAACAGAUAGAGAAAAUAGUUAGAAAUAUUCAUUUUGAUUUAGUAAAAAAUAGUACUUAAUUUUGGAUGAAUGUUCAAAAUUGUAGUUGAUGUCAUAUUUGUUCAUCAAAAGAUAAAUUCAUAAUAGUGUAUAUAUGUUUAUCUUUUUUUUAUUUAAAAUAGUCUAGAAUCUACUUUUUACUUAAUUAUCUAAAAUAGUUAUAUAUUUGUUAGUUACUUCCUUCUUUUUUUUAUUUUAAAUGUCUCAUUAGAGUAAAUUCCAUAAAUAUAAAUUAUAAGUCCACACACACUACAUAUGUAUAUACUAUUUGCUUCUCCAAUGAAAAGUAUGAUAAGAUACUUGGGUGGAAUCUCUCUCUCUCUCUCAAUCCACUAGUGAGAGAAAAUAAAACACACAUAAAUUAGUGACAAAGGUAACAUGGGGGAGUGAAGGAAAGUGAUAAUUGGUGGUGGGGCCAGCAGCUCCUUUAGCAGCAGUAUAAAUUAGGAGCAAUCUUUAAAGAAAAUUGAUAGAAAGUCUCAAACAUUUAUCUACCAUUGUCAAACCCCACCUCAUUUUUGCUUCCACAAGCACAAGAAAUUUAUCCCACUCUGCACAAAUUUUUAGGAAAAAGAAGAUAACUUUCUUGAGCUCAAUUCUCUCCACUUGUAAGUAUAUCUGUGGUUUCUUUCUUGAUGUUGUUUUCUAUAUUUAAUGGGUUUUGUGGGUUUUAUUGCAAUAUUUAGAGGAGUUUUUUGGGUGUGUAAAGAUUCCAACUUUGUUUGGAUCUCUCCAUUUCCAGAGGCCCUUUUCCUUGUUUUUAGGUUUUAGUUUAGUGUUUCUUGCUGUUUCAGUUGAUGAUGGUUAGUUAAUUAUAGCUUGAUACUUAUUUUGAUUGUACUGUGUUUUUAUGAUAUUGAUUCUGAUUUGUCUGAUUUAUAAGAUGGAUUGUUUGUUAGUUGUUACAAUUUGCAUCUGUGUGGGUAGAAAAAUUCAUUCUUGAUUUUCCUUUCCAACUAAGCUUAGUCUCUCUCUCUCUCUCUCUCUCCUCAAAUUCAUGGGCAAAAUCUUUUACUUUUUAGCUUUUUUCUUGGCUCUUUGUCUAUGAAGUCUAGAAUAUUGCUUGGUGAUUGGGUCUUGUGACUUGAAUUUCACACACACACACACACAGAGAGAUGCUGUUGGAGGUGGGGUAGGGGUGUGUGUGUGGGUGGGUGGUGGUGGGGGGGGGGGGUGAAGAAGAUAAAAUAAGAGGAGCUUUUGGAUUCUAGAUGUGUUGUUUACCUAUAAUUGUCAUCUUGCUAUAAGAAGUGGGGUUUUCUUUUAUCUUUUCAUUUUUGUACCCACUACCCCUGGGGCGUGGGCGUAGUAGUAUCUCGACUCGACCUAGAUGACGUUGAUGGGCUUUAACACGACGUUGCCACUUGGGCUAAGCUGUGGGGCUAAUAAUGUAGGAUGGGUUUAUCCUCACCUUUUUGCAUAGUACCAAGACACUUGGCUGUUUUCCUAUUGAUGAGUUAUAGAUAAUAUAUAUGCAAAUGCAUUACAUAUAGGUUACACUAUGUUUGUAUGUAUUGUUGAUUGAUUUGCUUGAUGUAUCAAACUCGGUUGCUUUUGUUUGUUUGCAGUGAUUUAUUAGAAGCAUUAUCUUGUAACAAAAAUAGGAAAGAAAAGAUUUGUGUGAUGCUCCGAAUUCAUUGAUUGCUCGUUGCAUUUCUUGUAACAUCUUUGGAAUGGACGCGUUUGCUUUUCAGAACUGCCCAUGUCUCGUUCGUGCUUUUGUUCGUUUGCAGUCAUUCACUUGUUGCAUUUCUUGUGACACAUCGAGAAUGGAUGUGUUUGAUGUUUAUUGAUCGAGUUGGCUAGAUGGAAGGACGGGGUUGAGGUUGGGGUUGGAGUUCGUCUAAGUUCAUCAUAUUGUUCUUGCAUAUGCUCGUAGUUUAUAGUGUUUCGUCGUGUUUGCUUUGUGGCUAAUCCGGAAAACUUGGGACUUUGCGUAGAUUCAGGCUCGAAAAAUGGCGAUUUCAUCUUACCCGACUCCGGCAGACGCUGGAGUGCUCUGCGUGAUCCUGGCUAACACGGCCAUAUCCAUCUCGAUCUUCAAGGAGAUCUUCCGCUCCUUCCUACACGUCAUAGGCAUUAACAUAUCCUCGUGGGAGGACUUCACGGUGGAGCCCUCAAGCUCGGGCGAAUGCUGCAGGCGUCCCUCGGAGUCGUACGUGGAGGAGUUUAGGAGCUGCUCGCCAUCAAUGCAGUACGAGUCGGUCUUCAUCCGUCAAUGCCCCAAGCAGGAGUGCUCCAUCUGCUUGACAGAGUUCGAGCCCAAGGCAGAGAUCAACCAGCUCGCCUGCGGCCACGUCUUCCACAAGCCGUGCCUCGAGAAGUGGCUCAACUACUGGAACCCGACGUGCCCCCUCUGUCGGAACUACAUGAUGCCACAGGAAGCCGAGGAGGACGCCUCCUCCUGCCCCAUGUGAGGUAAAAUCUACGAUCCACGACGUAUGUACAGCAUAGCGUGUAAAAAAAGAGAAGUAUCCGUUAGAAUCGCGAAGACCAUGUGGUCCGAUGCAUAUACUUAAGCUGCCAGUAUUCCGCGUCCUCCUUGUAGCGACGGGUCAGCACGACUUGUAUCUGUGUUUGUAUAUAUUAUGGGAAGCUUUCGAAGAACUUUUGAGGCGUUUACGUUAAACGUGUUGUUCGUGCUCAUAAAUUCACCGUCUUUCGAUUAUAAACAGGGUCGAUAAACCUAGACGGGGCGAUGCUCGUUGCUCGUUGAAACGUUCAACGAGCAACAAGGGAUCUGCGGGAGUUUGUACAAAGUUACAUGUUUGGAAAGGGUCAAGAAAGCAAUACACACACAGCAUAACCUAAUCAAGAUAUCUAGUCAUGAUCGCAGCAGGUACGAUGAGCUCCGGCGAUUACGAGCCCUGGCUACUCGGGGCGACGGCCCCGAGCUUCGUGCCGACGGGCAUGUUCGCCCCGAGCUCCGAGAGCUUGGCGCCCACGGAAACGCUGUUGCGCGUGAGGCCCGUGUUCCGAUGCAUCCGGCACCGGAAGGAGCCGGCGUGCGUCGUGGGCGAGCAGAGGCAGUUGCUUUUGAGGCUUCUGGACUUCGCCAGCCCGACCGGCGACGUCGGCACCGAGGCCGACCGGGACACAGUGUUCAUGGCGCUUAUGCUCGGAUUCGGGAUAGCGAUUAUAGGUUUCUCUCGUUUCUGCAUCUUUCUAGAUUCUUCUGCCAUUUUCGAUCGGGUAGAAGAAACCUAUUAAGCACAAGAAAUUUAUUAUGUGAAACGAGAUGAGAUUCGAACUCACGAUAAUUCAUUCUGGAGUUAAAUAACAAAAGAAUGAUAAUUUAACGCUAUGAAACGUAGGAAACAAACACGAAGAUAUAAUUACCUGAGAAUUAUUACAGAUCAAAUGUGUUGCAAAGGUUGUUGAUUGUGUUUUUUCCUCAAAUUUUUUCUCUCUUUUUUGUUAUUGAUUAUAUCUUUCUCUCUGUUUCCCAAUUUCGUCCACAGUUUUUCUGAAUCUUUCCAUUUUAUAUUUUGAGGUUUCGGUAAAUCCUGAUUUUUAGCCACAAAAAUAUAUAUUUGUUUUUAUUAUCAUUAAUUACUAUUUAUUAGAGGAUUUGUUCAAGUGAUAGUGCAUGCCACGUUUAAAAAUGUGUAGACGACGAUUUCACAUUGUUCAAUUACAUAUUAUUCGUAUAAUUUAUGAAUGAAAAUACAAAAAUCAGAUUUUCGAUUAAUAUGUUGAUUACACCAAUUCCAGAUGAAAAAUUUAGUAUACUGAAUAAAUAUUGCUCCACAUUUUUUUUUCUUUUUCUUAUAAAGCUCCACAUUAUUUUAUGACGUGGGAAAAUUAAGCGUCGGAAUUAAACUAGGAAACAUUCUCGGUGAAGAAAAGGAAAAAAGAAAAAAAGAAAAGUAAUUUUCCUCUCAUAUUUAAAAGUUUCACAAAUACUUGGGUACAAUCGGGUUGACCCACGCUCAAAAUAAUGUUAUUUACACGAUUCGGAUCAAGAUAUAAAUUCGAAUCAAAGUGCGAAUCAAGGUCUGAGUGACGAUGCAGCCAAGUUAUACGAUACAUCCGAUUGUACUCAAGACAGUUUAAGUUUAGCCUUGUUGUUGCUCCUUUGCGAUCACCCAAACAAUGGACCUCUCCUCUCGAAUAAAAUAUAAAGUUUGUCGUUUUAGUAAAUAAAUAAAAAAUAAAAAUCUGCGUGCAUAUAUUAAUGUCAUAAUAUAAAAGUAGAGUGGUUAAUGCUUGAAGAUAAGAGACUCAGUUAAAUUUACACGCUCCGAAUUCAAACACAAACGUAGCAAGAUUCUAGCAUACAUGAUCUUGUACCUUAGGAAAUCCAAAACAUGAUUUACUAUGUAAUAUAUGUCUGUAACAAGACAAAGCCCGUGAGGCCGUACCAACGUAACCCUCGGAUGAUCUAGUCGGUGGAAUGAACGAUCUCAUGACUAAAAAGUCGCGAGCUGAAUGGCCCAUAAAACUACGAUUUAUGGACUCUGAGAAAGAGAGUGAAUCAGAGGCCAAACACAUUUGCUUGCCAAACCAACAAACAACAAAAUUUCCCAAUCAAAACAAGAGGCCAUCAAUUGCUACAAAGCAUCGAAAUGAUAUCGUUAGGAGACAUUCACUUUUAAGAAUUAACCUCGAUAGAUAAAAAUAAUAUACACUAAUUUUGCUUCAUUCUUUCUAUUGAAAGGGUAGGAUUAGAGAAAUCCUAGUAAUAGCAUACAAAUACUCAAGAUAGGAGUACAUUUUAUCAAUCAUGAAAAGUAAACACGAUAUUUUGCAAUUUGUACUUGUGUUAUCUAUGCUCUUAGCUAGUCUACAAGUUAUGGGAACUCAUCAGCAAACUCAAGAUCACACACAAACCAAUAUAUGAGAAAAGGGAUGCAAAUAACUUUGGCAAAUCAAGACAACAUCAUCAUUCAUAAAUAUACAUGUCAAACAUAUAGUAUUUGAAAAGUUGUAAGGGUGAUAGCAGCAAAACAAACUAGAAGAGUUGUAGUAAUUAAAACUUCUGCUCAUAAAUAAUGGAUGCAAUAUAAGUCAAAAUGGAAAGCACAUUAAAGUACACCAACAAAUGAAACAAAUCUAUCUGUGUCCCUUCGAAAUACCAGUAAUCCCGAGAGCUUAUAACGUUAAUCUACCAUUAAUGAAACAAAAAGGAACUCGAAAAGGAGAAACCUAGCAAGCAACACAAAGAGAGAGAGAGAUAAUAGUACACAUGCCAUUGUUUCAAAAACAAGCAUGAAUGAGGAGUGGACCUUUUGGUGUGUGUUAUCUUAGCUAGCAGAGCCGUGCACGUAUUGAUUCCAUCCUUGCAAUCCUUCGUGAGGUCGUUGAAAGUCUCAAUCUGUUUCUUCCCCCUCAAGAACACCUCAGUGUCGACAGAUAUCCUCAUGUAACCAUCAAACUCCACCGGAUUCCCAUUGUUGAGCUUCGUCAUCUCAGCAUACCAAUCACUCUCCGAAUUCCAGAGGUCCUUGUACUCAUCGAGGAAGUGUGUGGAGUACUUGUCCUUCAAAGGUCAAAGAAGGACGUCUCCUGCUCAUUUGUCGCGAUAUAGAGGUUCCUUCCAUCUUCAAUCUUGUAUUUCAAAGCUGACAAAAGCGCUUCUGGGGAAGUGUCUCUAUCAAGAUUCGGCCACAGCUCCUUGUUGGCCGCCUUCUCCCCUCUCUCGACAUGGACAGCAUCAAAAUCCCAAUUCAUUCUGGAUGAAAUAGCAGAGGUGAUAUCCAGCAACCUUCUGGACUUCCAAAUCAUCUUCCACGGCCGUUCAAUGACAGAUUCUGCUUCACCUUCACAAACUCGGUACCAAUAGUUAUCAGGCUCCACGGACCCAAACUUCCUCAUGAUCACAGUGUCCUUGACAUUAGCUAACUUCAUUGGCGCGACCCUGAAAUCCUCCACGAGAUGGAGACUCAACCGAUCCUUCUUUUGCCAUUUCCCCCAAUCCGACCAAAACUGAGUCUGGUCCAACACUGGAGCCGAAUCCAUCAAGUGCUCAAAGUCGAAGUAAAAUCUGAAAUCUUUACCCUCCUCAUCCUGACCAGACGAAGUGUACAUCUUCGACAAACACAUGCUCAGAUCCAUAACCAGCGUUCGAUUCAAGUACUGCGCCUCGCCCAACAUACACAUGAAACUCCAAAGAUACUGAUUCAUGCUCUUGCACCUAUCCCCUCCACCAGAAUAUAUCAAGUACUUACUAUGACUAAACGAGCCCUCCGACUCAACUGCAGGAAGAGAAUCAUCCACAGUCUCCCCAACAUCCGGCAGGGCAACCGGAUUCUCAUCCACCUUAGCUGGAACCUUCUCAAACACCUCCUUAUCCUUCUCCCUGUUCUUCCCCCUCCCUUUUCCCCUUCUCUUCCUAGCAUUCCCACCCGAAUGAUAAUCCCCAAUGCCAACCACACUAAGCGUGCAAUUCUCAGCCCUAACUAGUGCAAAACUCCGAUAAUCCUUGUAAAAGCGGCAGCCUUCCCUUCCUUGGGCCUAAACCGCCACGCCAUGUGGCAAGAGGUGGCAUUGUCCCCAGCCACCGGCUUCCCAAAUCGGUAGAAAUGAAUGUCUUGAAAUCUCUCGAUGGUAGACCUCAUCAGGAGAUGGAAAACAUCGGGAUCGCGACAAUUAACCGGCUCAUCGGUCCUACAUUCUCCGGUCUCCGAGAUCGCCUCGGUCUCCUCUGGCGUGGUGGCUUGAACCACGGAAUCAACAUCAGUUAUGUUGAUAAAAGUUGCAAACGCGGUCUGAUUCGAGGCGACGAAGUCCUCUCCGGUCUUAACAACGGCGAUGUCGGAUUUGAAAGUGGCGUUCGUAUUGGAUGUGAGGAAGUUCGUCAUUUUUGACGAAGGGUGAAACAAUGGAUCCUCGGGCUGGUAAGUUGCGGCGAUUAUAGUGAAAACCAGAACUCCAACAACGAAUAGAGUGAAGCAUAGAUUCUUAAUCAUGGCUAGCGCAUUCGGGCCUAGGUUUUCAGCUCUGAAACUUCCGUUUCUAGACAGCAUAAAUGACGGCCGAUUCAUUUUUCACGCUCUACCGCAAACUGCAUUAAAAUGAGGAAAACAAUGAAAUUGAGCAACGGAAUCGAAAUGCGGAGCUGCGAAUUAAGCAAAAAUGGGGUCAGAGAUGAUAAAAAACCUGCGGCCGACACAGAUCUGCUUGAAGUAGGGCAAUCGAUGCAAAAUGGUGUAUCUGAAUGCGGAUGAUUAUUGCCUCAUGCAGAGAGAGGAGAGAAGGAUCAGCUCACCAGCAUUCUUCGCUUCAUACUCUGCUUAAUUAGAGGGAGAGAGAGAGAGAGAGAGAGGNUUAAGUAGAGAGAGAGAGAGAGAGAGAGAGAGGGGAAGGAGUGUGGACUUGAGCUACUGCAGAAUCUCAAAAAGUGAAAAUGAUGAUGGUGAACUAUAAGACGUGGUGCUAAAAUGCGCCGCGGUGAUGGCCUUCGUAAUUUUGCGCCUUGUUUGGUUAUUGGCAUUUAAGUUUUUUNCUGCAUUUUUGGUUUCAGAAAAUAUACUAUAAAAUUGGCAUUUUUAGUCUAUCAUUAUAAGUUUUAUAGAAACACAUGUCUUAGUCGGAAAAGAGACAUUUUUGUCAUUCCAAUUUAAUUUAGAUUUAUAUGUCGUAAUCAUAUGUUUUAAUAUUAUUUCUUGUUUUUAAUAACUCUUUACUUGUAUCCCUUCUCUUUGUUCGAUUGAUCAUCCAUUAUAUAUUUAAAUAUCUACAUAAUAUUCCAAUAAGUCUAAGCAUGUGAGUUCAAAUGAAGGUUUCAUUAACAAUGUGGUUUUCAUUAAAUAAUUUGAUAAAACACAAAUUAUUGAUAUCAUUAUCUCUUGAUUGAACAAUAUAGUUUGAUACUUCAAGUAGUAAAAUGAAAAUGUAUUUGAUUUUCAUAUUUAAUGUUUUUCACCAUCCAUGCCAUGGUCAAUAUCAUCAAAUCUACAACUUAAAAUGAAGAAAUGGAAAAAACCAUUUUUAGGAGAGAUGAAUCGCUAAAUUUAAGGGAAAAAGAUUAAAUUAGGAAACUUUACAUAAUUUAUUCAGUAUUUCUCCUAAUUUUGAAGAAUAAUUCAUACCCAAAAAAAUCUUACUCGCAUUUAAGUUGGAAAAGUUUAUUCAAAAUAGCAGGUCUAUCCAAACGAGGCCUACAAAACGUGAGGCAUUUGGCUUAUUUGUCAACGGCGUAACGCGCUCUCGGCGCAAUCUAGAUCCGCCGCCCCGCCCCCGAAUUAAAAUAUGCAUUGUUUUGAGAGCGCGAGAGAUCGUGACUGGUGGCGAUUGCUAUCGUGCGCACCGGAGAUGCACCGACAGCUAACGGUGGCAUAAAUGUCAUUUCAUCAUAGUUAUGACCUUAUAAUGGAAUUAAACUAAUGUUUUUAUUUGGCACAAUUGAUUUGGAUAUGCUAGCUACCACCGUGACUUGCAUUUAAAUACAAAAACAUUAUUUAAUUUUAUAAAUAAACUAAAAAAUAUUAUUAUAAAUAGAUGAGGUUCUAAGAAUUUUUUUUAUAUAAUUAUCAAUUGCCUUUAAAUUAAUGUUGAGAUUGAUGUCUGAAAUACCUACAUGAUUUAAACGGUCGAGAUAUUAAACAACAUAAUUGGAGGUCUACGCCAGAAUAUAUCACAACAGUAUUAAUUCAUCGAAAAUUGGCAACCAUAUGAAAAAUAAAAACAAAUGAGAUUUUUAGUUCGCAUCCAAAAUCAAAAUUGCAUGAAAGUUCGGUGUCCCAUUAACAAAAUACCAUAAUAUUUAUUGCAGUUUGUAAUUUAUAAAAUAAUUUUUACAAUAUUUAAAUUUCAUACAGCCUUUUAAUGUUUUACAAAUACAAUAUUCCAAAUUGUUUUAGCAAUAAAACCAUAACAUAUUCAAACCACCAAAUUUAUUUGUGAAAUAAUCUACCACAAGAAAAUCAAGUAAUACGCAUUUUGUCGCAAUAAUCAUCCAUUUUUGUUCGUAUAUUUUUCACUGUUUGUAAUAGUGAUAAGAGUGGAAAAAACCAACUAAAAUCUAGAAUGUUUCCCUAACUAAAAACUAACAGAAAUUUACAAGUAAAAACAAACACAAGAAACAUUUAUGGGUUAAGGUUUGUCGAAAUUACCUCGUAGUAGUUGCAGAUACGAGCAGAAGCUUUAACAUUUAUUUCUCCGUCGAUCCGGGAGCCGGGUCGUUAUAAGUCGCGUCUCGUUUCUCGUGUGAACGAAGCUAGCUCUUCGUGGAGGCGUGAGGCGAGCUUCUGAGCUUCGUCCGGUUGAGGCUGAGGUCCAUGCUCUUCUGAACCAUGUCCUGCAGUAGCUUCUUGGCAGUCUCGACUGCCUUGUCUUUCCCAUCGACGUUUGCAGCGAAGUUGUAGACGAUCCUCUCCAGCUCGGAGGAGGUGAGCCGCCGUUCCGGAGGGGAGUCUCUGAGCAAAUCCAGGAGAGUCCGAGCUCGAUCCUGUGCUGUAGGAGUGCCCUCAGCUGUGAGACGAAGGAGGCCGGGUAUGGCGCCUUCUUUUAGAAUGAGCUCUCUGUAUUUAUCGCGACAGCUCUGGCAUAGGAUAGCAGAGCUCCGACUGCGUGGGACAUGCUGACCGAAGAUCCAUCUUCGACGGUCUCCACCAGAGCUAGAAUCCCACCUUCGACGUCUGUGAUUGCAGCUCGUCCCUCUUCAGAGGCAGAGAAGAUCUCGAGCAGGAACGUGGUUUUCUCAGCGAACUUGGAGUACUUCUUGCAUUCUUUCAGGAGGUCUAUCAAUGGAGGCACUGCUUUAGCAUCAAGGGCGAGCUUCGGCUCCUCCUCACACGUCGAGAGGUAGUAAAGGGCUGUGACGGCAUCAACCUUUCCUUGGACGCUUCCUGAGCAGAGGAUCUGUACGAGCAGAAGUGCAGCACCGGAUGCUGCUAUCGUUGGCUUGUUGGGCGGAGCAGACGACAAGGAUAAAAUUGCAGCAGCUGCUAGUUCUCGCAGAUUGCCAGUUCGGUUCUUGAGAAGCUCCACGAGAGGUGGAACGGCACCAGCAGCAACGAUCUUGAUCUUGUUUCUGAUACAUGAGUGCAUUAAAUGGUCAGUCGCUGGCAAUCAAUCGAGCAAACAGUCAUCAACACAUGCGCAGAAUUGAAACGAAGCAACAGAAUAAAGAAUGUAUGUUUGCAAUGAGAAGCAAAAUAGCAAACACUGUUACACUAACUCAAGUAAACUUAAUGAAUUAGUCUCAACUCUCAAGGAAAUCUGUUUAUACUAUAAUCUUUUCUACACCCUAUUUCACCACCAUCCACAAACAAAAACCUUGAAAAACGCAACCACAGUCACACAAGACCUCCAUGUUCACAAAAAGAAUAAUCGAUACUACAAUACAUUCGAGUAUUUACGAAGAACUAAUGCGGUUGAAACCCAAAGACACUUGUAGUUAAGGUCCUCAUAGCACAUCAUCUUUCCUACACCCUAUUUCACCACAAUCCCAUUACAAAUGCAAACAAAGUCGCAAAUAGCCUACCAUUUGCACAACNNNNNNNNNNNNNNNNNNNNNNNNNNNNNNNNNNNNNNNNNNNNNNNNNNNNNNNNNNNNNNNNNNNNNNNNNNNNNNNNNNNNNNNNNNNNNNNNNNNNNNNNNNNNNNNNNNNNNNNNNNNNNNNNNNNNNNNNNNNNNNNNNNNNNNNNNNNNNNNNNNNNNNNNNNNNNNNNCCUCAUUUUGUGAGAUUCUCUAAAAUAUUGGGGUGGGUCCGUGGACGUAGGCAGUUUGGCCGAACCACGUUAAAUAUCAGUGUCAUUAUUUUUCCCGUCUUAGAUAAUUUAUAUCUUUGUAUAUUGCUUUCGAUUUGAUAAUGGUGGAAUAUUUGUGUAUAUUUCCACAAAGACAUUUGUAUUUCAGGUCCUCAAAGCAUAUCACCUUUCCUACACCCUAUUUCACCGGAUUUUACGACAAAAACCUUUGCAAACGCAAAACACAGCCGUACAAUACCUCCAUUUGCACAAAAGGAAUCAACAAAAACUAUGACACAUUUGAGUACUCAGGAAUCCGAAUCGUGAUGAAACCAAAAGAUACUCGUAUUUCAGGUCCUCGAAGCAUAUAAUCUCUACGACACCCUAUUUCACAAUAACCAAAAGAGUUCGGGCACUUUAAGAAUCAGUGUAAAGCGCCACCGAAGAAAAAGGAUCACAAAAAGACAGCGAACGCAGCCACAACAGAAGAUGUAGGCGAGGCGUUGGUCCUGAGCGUGACCAGUCCGAUGGAGUCGUGGGUGCUGGAUUCUGGAGCGUCUUUCCAUUCAUGCAGUAAUGAAGAUAUAAUUGAAAAUUAUGUCUCUGGCAAUUUUGGACAGGUGUAUCUUGCUGAUGAUGAGCCCCUGAAAAUCGUGGGAAAGGGAGACGUGCGAGUUGUGACAUCCAACGGAUCCGAGUUGAAGCUGAAUCAAGUCAGACAUAUUCCUGGACUGAAAAGGAACUUACUUUCAAUUGGGCAGCUUGAUGCAGAGGGUUACACAGUGACAUUUGGCUGCAGUAAUUGGAAGAUAAUCAAGGGAGCUAUGAUUGUAGCUCGUGGAAAGAAGGAUGGCACGUUGUAUAUGACAACUAACUCCAAAGAUUGCAUUGAUCUUGCAGGAGGAGUGAACAAUGCAGAUUUGUGGCAUUGUCGGCUUGGCCACAUGAGCGAAAAGGGGAUGAAGAUAAUGUGUUCGAAGGGUAGGCUGCCUGGCCUGGAAACUGUUGAAGUUGGCCUGUGCGAGGAUUGCGUGUUCGGAAAGCAGAAAAGGGUAAGCUUCUCGAGAGGCGGCAGAACCUUGAAGACGCAGAAACUGGAGCUGGUCCAUAGUGAUCUAUGGGGACCGGCGCCUGUAAAAUCCCUUGGUGGCUCGGAAUACUACAUAACCUUCAUUGAUGAUUCCACUCGAAAGGUAUGGGUUUAUUUCUUAAAAUAAUCGACGCAUUUGAUACUUUCAGGAAGUGGAAAGCCCUUGUAGAAACUGAAACAGGGCUGAAAGUAAAGUGUCUACGAUCCGACAAUGGAGGAGAAUAUGAACUUAAGGAGUUCAAAGACUACUGUGCUGAGAAUGGGAUUCGCAUGGAGAAAACCGUGAGAGGAACUCCCCAGCAGAAUGGUGUAGCAGAACGGAUGAACAGAACACUAAAUGAGCGAGCAAGAUGCAUGAGGCUGAAAAGUGGGUUGCCUAAGAUGUUUUGGGCAGAUGCAGUUAACACAGCUGCAUACCUAAUCAAUAGAGGUCCAUCAGUUCCAUUGGAGUUUCGGAUACCUGAGGAAGAAUGGACAGGAAAAGAGGUAAACCUAUCUUUUCUACGCAUCUUUGGAUGUGUUGCUUAUGCUCAUAUUGAUCAUGUUAAUAGAAGCAAGUUAGAUGCUAAAUCUCUUAAGUGUACGUUCAUUGGUUAUGGUGGAGACGAGUUCGGUUAUAGGCUCUGGGAUGAGCAGAACCGAAAGGUUAUUCGAAGUAGAGAUGUGGUUUUCAAUGAACAGGUGUUGUACAAGGAAAGAGUGAAAGCAUCUAGCCCUGGCAAUUCUGAUUCCCAAGUAGUCGAGUUAGACAUCUCAAACUCGAGUGGGAGCAAGGAGAGCCAGAAUUUUGAAGAGGUUCCAGAUGAGGAGCCAAGAACCCCACCACCAAGCAAUCCGCUGCCAAGACCGGUUAGAGAGCGACGUGCACCUGAUAGGUACUCGCCCUCUAACUUUUAUUUACUACUUACUGAUGGUGGUGAGCCUGAAUGCUAUGCAGAGGCAGAUACUGGUAGUAAUAAGCGGAUGUGGAGAGUUGCUAUGGAUGAUGAGAUUGAAUCUCUUAUCCUAAACGGCACUUGGGAACUUGUAGAGCUCCCGAAGGGGAAGAAGGCAUUGCAUUGCAAGUGGAUCUAUCGAAUCAAGAUUGAAGCUGAUGGUAGCAAACGCUACAAGGCAAGGCUGGUUGUCAAAGGGUUUGAGCAACGAUACGGUAUUGAUUAUACCGAUAUUUUUACUCCUGUUGUGAAACUGACCACUAUUCGUUUAGUGUUGAGCAUGGUAGUUGCAGAAAACUUGUUGUUACAUCAGAUGGAUGUAAAGACAGCGUUCCUUCAUGGUGAUUUGGAGGAAAACUUGUACAUGACACAGCCCGAGGGAUUCGUGGUGAAAGGAAAGAAAAUCUUGUGUGCAAGUUGAAAAAGAGCUUGUAUGGCCUGAAGCAAGCUCCGAAGCAGUGGUAUAAGAAGUUUGACAGUUUUAUGUUGGAGAUUGGCUACGCGAGAUGCCACGCUGAUCAUUGUUGCUACUACAAGAGGUUCGACAAAAGUUAUCUUAUCCUUUUGCUAUACGUUGACGAUAUGUUGAUCGCAGGAGCUGAUGCAAAGGAAAUGGAUAAGUUGAAGAAGCAAUUGUCUGAACGAUUCUCCAUGAAAGAUCUUGGAGAGGCCAAUCAGAUUCUUGGCAUGAGGAUCAAAAGAGACAAGGCGGCAGGAAAGUUGUAUCUUUCACAAGCCAACUACAUUGAGAAGGUAUUGGAAAGAUUUAACAUGCAGAAUUCGAAGCCGGUGAACAUCCCGUUGGGUUGUCACUUCAAGCUGUCGAAGAAGGAGUCGCCAUGUACAAAGGAGGAACGUGCCGAGAUGAUAAAAGUUCCUUAUGCAUCGGCAAUAGGCAGCAUUAUGUACGCCAUGGUGUGUACAAGGCCAGAUAUUGCGCAUGCAGUGGGAGUAGUAAGCCGAUUCAUGGGUGAUCCGGGCAAGCAACAUUGGGAAGCAGUCAAGUGGAUUCUUCGUUACUUAAGAGGUACCACGGACAAGGCUUUAUGUUUUGAUGGCAAGAGUGCCAAGUUGGUUGGCUAUGUUGAUGCAGAUUUGGCAUCAAAUGACCUGGAAGGUCGGAAGAGUACAACCGGGUAUGUAUUUACUUUUGGUGGUACUGCUAUUUCUUGGUCUUCUAAGUUGCAGAAGAUUGUCACGUUGUCUACUACGGAAGCUGAGUAUGUAGCCGUGACGGAAGCAAGCAAGGAGAUGGUAUGGUUGCAGAAUUUCUUGGGAGAACUUGGGAAGAAGCAUGAGAAUAGUACACUCUUUAGUGACAGUCAAAGUGCUAUUUUCUUGGCUAAGAAUCCAGCGUUUCACUCAAGGACAAAGCACAUUGAGUUGAAGUAUCACUACAUCCGUCACCUGCUGGAGAUGAAGAUCUUACAACUUGAGAAGAUCCAGGGAAGCAAGAACUCAGCCGAUAUGUUAACCAAGGCAGUUGGCAUAGAUAAACUGGAGUUGUGCUCAACUUCAGUUGGUUUUCUAGAAUGAAGACAGUAAGGCUGCUGCGUUGAUCGAGGUGUGAAGACAGAUUAAAAUCAGUCUUCAAGUGGGAGAUUGUUAGCCAAAAAUAUGGAGGCUCCACCACCACAACUUUGAGGAAAGUUGUCUGCCACCACCACAACUUUGCCACCACCAAAGGGGAAAGUGCAGCUCCAUUUUGGAGUGUGUGGUGGAAUCAACUUUGAGAAAGUUGGGAUGUGAGGUGGAAUCAACAAAUGGAGGCUAUAAAUAUGUGCAUCGCAGCAACUUGAAGUGCAUCCCAAAAUAUUCACAAAAGAAGUCUUGUGAAAGAAGUGCUAGAGAGUGAGAAAAUAUUGUGAGAGAAAACUUCAGUGUGGAAGUUAAACACGAGUGAUAAAAGUGAGUCGAGAGAUAGCCUCUGUGUAGGCAAGAUACAAAAUACAGUGUGGUAUUGUUGUACUCCUCAUUUUGUGAGAUUCUCUAAUAUAUUGGGGUGGGUCCGUGGACGUAGGCAGUUUGGCCGAACCACGUUAAAUAUCGGUGUCAUUAUUUUUCCCGUCUUAGAUAAUUUAUAUCUUUGAUAUUGCUUUCGAUUUGAUAAUGGGUGGAAUUAUUUGUGUAUAUUUCCCAACAACAGAUGUCUCUUGUGUAGGGAUACCAAGAAUGCAUUGACAGUUAUAAAGCGCAUGACCUCUAACAGUUAUUAAUGGCUAAAUGAUCAGAGUUUGACGAGGAGAGUUACAUCUGUCAAAGAAGAAAGUUAUGAUCUAUGUUGCUCGGACUCUCCAAAAAUGGGAGAGUACCCGUGUCUGUCGGGUACGACAUGGAUCCGGGUGCGGGAUACGCAUCGGAUUCUUCAUAAUUCAUGCAGACUCGGCGGUGGAAAGGAGAUAGAUGAUUUUUUUUUCUGCAAAUGACAUCCGCGAAGAAGAUGAUCUAAGGGAAAAUUGACUGUGAACUGUGGUACAGUUGUAUCCACUAUCCACUAUUACAAUAAAAUAUAUUAUUAAUUAGUGUGAGCAAAUUAAUGUGGAGUACAACUGUAUAUCAUUCAUUCCUAAUUCUAAUAUAAUAUAACAACUAAUCUAUUAAACAUUAAUGUAUAUAUAGAAUACCCAUUAUCUAAACACUAAAAAUCUAAUCGUCACUUACCUUACUCCCCCAAGCCGCAAAUUUAUCCCCUAUUCCCCCCUCCCAAAAAAACAGAAACUCUACAUGUUCAGUUGGAAUAUCAAUCGUCUCCAAUUUUUUAUUUAAGAAUUUGUAAUGGCUUUAGAAAGCAUUAGUUCAUUCGAAAAACACCCAAAAUUCAUCUAUGGCAGCCGAAGAAAACAGAAAUGCUGUUGUUGUUCGUCCAACCAGCGGCGUCGACGACAAACCAUUGUGGAGUCACAUUACUGUCCUAAGUGUUGCCGCAGGAGGAGGAGGAAAUCGAACAUGGACUUGCAACUACUGCAGCAAGAGAGUUGUUGGGUCUUAUUCAAAUGUGAAAGCCCAUCUUUUAAAGCUUCCAAAUCAUGGUGUAGCACCAUGCAAAUCAGUUUCAAGGGAUAUGCUUCAACAAAUCAAAGAAGAGCACGAUGAGGUCGAGAGAAAAAAAUCACAGGAUGCGUAUCAAGAUAAGCAAAAGGCAGAUUAUCUAUCCCUACCGGAAGGUUCUGAUUUGCAGCAACAUAAGAAAAGAAAGGGCAAAGAGGUUGGGCCACUGGAGAAGUCAUUCAACAUCAGCCAACGAGAGAAGGCCAACAAACAAUGUGCAAGGAUGUUCUUUGCAAGUGGUCUUCCAUUUAACUUUGCAAAGUCUCCCUUCUUCAUUGAUUAUUCAAGAACUUUAGCCAACAACAGUUUGUCAGGCUAUACUCCACCAACAUACAAUAGAAUAAGAACAACACUUCUUGGACAAGAAAAUGAACAUGUCUACAGAAAGCUCCAGCCCAUCAGAGAUUCAUGGAGGAAGAAAGGAGUUUCUAUUGUUUCUGAUGGAUGGUCAGAUCGAUAGAGGAGGCCGUUGAUCAAUUUAAUGGCUGCAUCUGCUAGAGGAGCCAUGUUUCUUAAAUCCGUUGAUGCAAGUGGCGUAAUCAAGGAUGGGGAAUAUGUGAGCAACGUGUUUGAAAAAGCAAUCAAAGAGGUCGGAGAGUCAAAUGUGGUGCAAGUCAUCACAGACAAUGCAAGUAAUUACAAGUCUGCAGGGUCGAUGAUCGAAUCAAGGUAUCCUUACAUAUUUUGGACUCCUUAUGUGGUACAUAAUCUGAAUUUGGCAUUAAAAAACAUAUGUGAUUCUACUGAAAAAUCACCCCAAUAUGCUCAGUGCAAGUGGAUUUCUGAGUUGGUUAGUGAUGUCCAGAAUAUUUGAAAUUUUGUUGUUAAUCAUGGCAUGGCAUUAGCUAUUUUUAAUAGCUAAUGUAAUCUGAGUUUGUUGAGGAUGGCUGAAACUAGAUUUGCAUCUAGUAUUAUUAUGACAAACACUUAGGGAAGUCAAAGGUGCAUUAGAAAAAAUGGUUAUGGAUUCAGAUUGGAGAAUUUAUAGAGAAUGAAGUAAUGAAGGUAAAGCACAAGAGGUUAAACAAUGCAUUGUGACUGAUGAUUGGUGGGAUAAGUUAGAUUAUUUUUUGAAAUUUACUGAGCCUAUUGUUGAUAUGUUAAGAAAAGCUGAUACGGAUACUCCUGUCUUACAUUUGAUUUAUGAUAUGUGGGAUACCAUGAUUGAAAAUGUGAAGAAGAUUGUUUUUGAACAUGAACAAAAUGAUUUGAUUUCUGGUUCAUCGGAUUUUUUUGAUGUUGUCCAUCAAGUGUUGGAGAGUAGAUUGAAUAAAAGUAAUACGCCAUUGCAUUGCAUGGCGCAUUCUUUGGUUCCAAAGUAUUAUCAUGAAUCGUGGCUUCAAAGUGAAAAUAAUGGAAUUCCACGGAUUGCGCCUCAUAAGAACAGCGAGGUCUCAAUGAAUAGAAGUAUGUCUCUUAAAAAGUUAUUUCCAAAUGUGAGUGAUUUGCGAAAAGCUUAUGCUGAAUUUGGGGCGUUUUCUACUGGAUGUGGCUAUUUCAAUGAGCCACAUGUGAUUGAUGCACGAUCCUAUGAAGAUCCAGUGUCAUGGUGGGCAAAUUAUGGUGCAUCGACACCUAUCUUGCAAAGUUUAGCUUUUAAGCUACUAGCACAGCCAGCCUCUUCAUCAUGUUGUGAACGAAAUUAGAGCACAUACUCUUAUAUCCAAAAUAUUAGAAGGAACAAAUUGGCACCAAGCAGAAUUGACGAUCUUGUGUUCGUGCACUACAACUUACGAUUGUUGUCACGAAAGGAAAAUGAUUAUAAAAAAGGAGAAACAAAGUAUUGGGACUUGUGUAUGUAAUUUUUAGUUUUAAGUCUUUAUUAUUUAGGUUAAUAUAUAAUAUUUUAUCUUGAAUUUUAUAGGUGCUGAUAAAGCUAUUUCGGAAGAGAAUGCAACUGUUGAGCUAGAAGGAAUAUCACUUGAUGAUCCAGAUUUAGAGAGUUAUUUUGUAGUUUGAUCCAGAUUUAAAGAUUUAGAAGGACUAUCACCUGAUAUAUCAGCUCCUUAUUUUGUAGUUUGAUGUUUUUUUGGUAUUUUCUUGGAAAUUAUCAUUUAUAAAAUGAUUUUCUAUUGUCUACUAAAGAAUUAUCUUUUUAUUUAUCAAACGUAUCCUCGUACCUGUGUCCUAAUUUCGGAUCCUUUUUAGCCGUGUCCACGUAUCCUAAGUUUAGAAAAAUUAAGAGUCUGACACAUAUCCCCGCACCCGUGUCCUACACCCGCACCCGAGUCCGAGCAACAUAGGUUAUGAUGAUCUUUUGGAAAAGUACACCUAUUUUCAAUGGCAAUAUGAGAUUGACAUGAAAGCUAAGAUAGCAGCACAGGUGACACAUCGGUAAUAUCAGCCCGAGCCACCACAAUUUGAAGAUGUUUAUCCAAUAAAUAUAUGAAUCAACUGUAAAUAUUGAUGAUAUAAGGGCUGAAAAUGGUUAAUAUUUUAUAUUUCAUGGAGUUUAUUUAUUUUAGCCUCCCUAGAGAGAGAGAGAGAGAGAGAGAGAGAGAGAUAGAUAGAUAGAUAGAUAGAUUGGAUCGAGUGGGAAUGUUAUUUUUUAUGAUAAUGAGAAUUCAUAUGAAUAAAACAGUAUAAGUUCAUGAAUAAGCUGCUUGUAAUACACAAAUAACCAUUUAUAUUUGGAUUCGAAUCCUGGAGAGGGCAAUUUUUUCUACCAAUUAACUGAAUUACGAUUAUUUGUGCAUUGCAAGCAGCUUAUUCAUAGAUUUAUACUGACUUAUUUGUUUUGUUCAUUCUCACGAAAAUAAUAUUCUCACUUAAUCUCAGCCCUAUAUAUAUAAAUUCUUCAUCGACACAAUUAUGGCCGCUAAUGGUAGAAAAAUAUGAGGAGAUGAAAUAGUUUUACAUUUUACAUAAUUAUGGUUGCUUAAAAUUAAUUGGUAAACUAACGAAAGUACAUUUGAAAACUAAUUUUAUUAUCUCGUGCAUGUUUUAGCUUAUUUACAUUUUCAUCAUAUUUUACACAGAGUCACAGACAAUCAGACUUCUUAAUUCAUACCAACAAAUUAAUACUCCCUUGGUGCAUCAAAAAAUAUACGAAUUAUAAUAAAUUAAUUAAAUGUUAAUUAUGCAUAAAUUAAUUAAGUGUUUCACUUUUAUUAUAACUUUAAAUUAAUUAAUUUGGUUCAAUAAUAUAUCCAGUAAUAAUAAUGAUAAAUAAUGAGAAAUAUUGACAAUUAUAAUUAAGUAGGUUGUGUGGGUAGAAUAAAGGGCUCACUUUUAUGGUUGUUAGUUAAGUAUCUGCAUGUAAUUAGCUUGUAGCUCGAGGGGUUAAAAUGCAAAUAGGAGAUGUUGAGGGAGUUGAUAGCUAUUCUGGAAAAAUAGUUAUAACACAUCCAAACGGAUCUAUUUUUCUGUUUCCUUGAAGAGCAGUUUUCUCAUCUCACUUUUACAGCUCGUUUUCCCUUCUUUUUUAUAAGCUCAUAUUAGUCUUCAUUUUAGGUUGUUGAUUACUUAAGAUUUCUAUUACUGAAAAAAGCUUAGUUGAUAGCGAGGAUAUAUAGCAAUCUUGAUAUAUUAGGAAGCUAUACACUUUCUUCUAGCUUGAGAGUUUUUUGGUUGUAAUCUAUAAAAUCUUGAGUGUUUCUAGUCAGGGACGGAGCAGGGGGGGGUGCCCGGGGGGCUGAAGCCCCCUCCCAAAUUUUGAAUUUUUUNUUUUUAAAUUUAUUUUCAAAAAUAUAUAUAGAUAUAUGUCUUAACUUUGUUAUACAAAAGUUGAUUUGCUUGUUAUAUUCACCUGUAUAUACUUAAUUUAAGGAUAAUCGUGUUAUUUAAAACUAUAUAAUCUAUUAAAAUAUUGUUCAUUAUUAUUAUUAUGCUUGUCUUGUAAUAGAAAGUGUAUGAAAUGCCCAAAAAAAAUUGUUUGUUAUUUAGAUUAUACUUCUCUUUUAAUAAAAAAUACCUAAAAUAUACGAAAUGUUCAAAAAAAAUUGCAGUGUUUUGAAACUAAUUUGUAAUAUAUUGAAACUAUAUAAUCUAUGAAAAUAUUGUUUGUUAUUAUUACUAUUAUGCUCAUAUUUUAAUAAAAAAAUGCUUUAAAUAUACGGAAUGCCCAAAAAAAAUUCUCGGGGGCUACCUCCCCCGAACCCCCGUAUAGGUUCAGCCCCCCGAACUUAAUUCCUGGCUCCGUCCCUAUUUCUAGUGGAAUCAUUGGCUUCUCUUCCAUAAAUGUAGAUUGAAAGAUCGAACCAUGUAACUCGGUGUCUUGUUCGUUUGAUUGUUGCGUUUUUGCUUUCUCACAAACAAAUCCACAACAAUUGUAAUUGAAAAUUGAUUAAUUUGAUUUAAUAGUGGGUCCAAUAAUGCAAUAUGGGUAAAUAAGAGAUAAUACUGAAAAUUAUAUUGAAUAGGGCAAACUUAUUAAAAAUGAAAAUAUGGAAUGAGUAUAUUGUGAAUGUGAACAUUAGUGUGUUUGAAGAUCUGAAGAUUAGAGAAAUUGUGAAUUUUGGUUGUGUGACUGUGAACACUAGUGUGUUUGAAGAUAUGAAGAUUAGAGAAAUUAUGAAUUUUGUUAGGCAUGGAUUGGAAGACGAUUGUAAUUUUAUUCUAUUGUUAUGAUUAUUUCAGCAUUUAUUUAAUUUAAUUAAUAAAUUUAAUUUCUAGAUAAAAAUUUCAAAUUAAUUAAUUUAAAUAUUGACCUUAAAAUUGAUUUAAAAUCACUAAUUAUACAUAUAACCACUAACUACAAAAUGAGAAACAUACUUAAACAACUAAAUACUAACUCCUUAAAUUUCGUGUGCAAAAGAAACGUCUCAGCUUCGUUGAUAUUUUUUUUGAAAGGACCAAAAUUAAUAUUUUAUGUGGACGAACGGAGUAUUAUUUAUCUUUAGUAAAUAUUAUUAUUAUGUAGCAAAGUAAAUAAACUAAAUAAAUAUGAUCAUAUUUAUCAUAUAGAAGUACAUAUAUUUUGUAGAGUCGGUCUCCCGUGAGACCGGUCUCAUCCGGUCUUAUCCAUGAGACUCGUUCUCACCAAAACACUAUAAAUAAAAGCUAGCCGCUAUUCUACAAAUAAGAUGUGUACGCUCCUUCGCCUACCAUCUCUCAUGCACAUGUUCGAUUCCUAGGAGUAGCGUGCGCGCUUUUUUAUUUUAUUUUCGAUUCUAAGGAGCAACGUAUAAAUAAAAAUUAUAUGGUCCUCUACAAUUUAUGAUAUCUAUGAAACAUCUUCAUAUCAAUGAUUACUUUUUCUUACGAUAAUAAUUACUUGAUCAAAUAAAUUAAAAAUCAAGUUCUCGUAAGUAAGAAUAACGAUUAUUUUAAAAAUAAGUAACGUUUUACAAACAUUAAUUUUAUUCAUAUCGAUUAUUAUUUUUCAUCACAACAAUAAUUACUUUGAAUUAUUCAUAUUUUUCAAUCAGCCUGUGACUCGCACCCAGCCCGCUCCUACCCACGCUCGUCCCUGCCCCGACCCGUAUAACAACUUUUGAAACAUAAGUAAUGAAAUAUAGAUGACGGUGAAAUAAAGUAUAUAACUUUUGCUCAUUUAAUAAUUCGAAUAUAAAUUGGUUUCAAAAAAAUAAAAUAAAAUAAUAAUUCAGAUAUAAAUGAGCGUAAAUUUUGUUCAACAAUACUCGAAUAAAUAUAUAUAGAAUUAGACAAGACAAUUUUGUUUUCAGCAUAAGAAAAGGACUUUAGAAUGGGCGAAACAGAAGGUGCAAAUACUGUGUGCUGUUUGUGUGUGUGUGCUUUGUCCAAAUACAGCAAAGAGAAGAAAACUUUGGUGGGUUUGCGGUGACUUUUAGGCCCAAUCUAUAGUUAGGUUCAUCUAAUAGACAACCUUUGCUUCUUACUUCCAAUAUCUAACGUUUUUUUGGGUUUGACAAUCUGCUGCCUGCGUCUUUCUGCAAUCUAUGUUUUUGUGUUUCUUUCUUAUUCUUUUAUUUAUAUAUAUAUAUAUAUAUAUAUAUAUAUAUAUAUAUAUAUAUAUAGGGGAGAGGUUCAAAUAAGAACCACUAAAUAAAAUUAGAACAGAGAACCAUUUUAAACCAUUCGAUCAUCAAGAUCUACGGUGGAUGCAUCAUCUUGGUGAAUGAAUGCAGAUCCUGGGUUCGAAUCCUGAAGGGAGCAAAAAAUUUAUUAUUUUCGGAUGCAUUAAAUUUAAUAGCGAAUGCAUUAAUUUAUAUAGUAGAUGCAUUGAUUUUAAUGGUUCUUAUGUUCUCACGAUAAGUGUGGUUCUCACUAUAACCGCACCCUAUAUGUAUGAGAGACAAAAUACAUAUCAUAUAAUAUAGUGCCUUCAUUCCAUUGAUAAUGACUCAUAUCAUUUUUCGUCUGUCCCAUUGAGCCUAAUUAAAAAUAACAUUUACUUUACACUAUAAACUUACUUUAUAUCCCGUCCUUAAAAGUGGUCACUACUUACUUUACAUUCUGAUCAAGAUGGAAUUAAGGAUCCAUCUUUUGAGAAGGAAAGUUCAAAUAUGCUGCUUUAAGCCUAUCCAAGGCCUAAAUAUAUAAGCCAUACCUAUAGAUAAAUUAUUAUACUCGUAUUAUUUUGAUACUAUCGCAUAUUUAAAAUCACAUUGGGUAGAUCUGAAGCAUAUACAAAUUCGGAUUUAGUAGAGUUGAGACACAUAAUUCGACAGAACUGCGACAAGUCUGAAAAAAGAGAAAAGUUUGAAAACGAAAGUCAAAAUUAAAUAAGUAAUAAAUACACGAAGUAUACCCAAAGAUUGAUCAGAGCUUACCAUUAUUACUAGAUCUGAAAGAUAGAAAAUAUAUGUAAUUUAAACUCUCUUAUUUAGACAAAGUACUCUUUUACCUUGACUGAUGCUUUUCCAAUUGAGUUUUCGUCAGAAAGGCUUUAACGAGGCUUGGAAAAAAAGAAUCUUUAUUAAUGGGCCCUUAGCAUUAGGUUUAGAAAGUUUAGAUAGCAAGAAAUAUUCAAAUGUAAGGCCAUUAACUAUUCCUUCAUUCAAAAAGAUAUACCAAAGAAGAAACUAUUUCAAUCCUCAACAAGCUUUACAAUUUGUUAAUGUUUGAGUUCGAUUUCAUCUCGAGCUUAUCUUACUCUAAAACACUUUCUCUUACAUUAAAAAAUAAUCAAAUAACAAUUAAACUAGUACAAAUUAAACUAAAUAUUCAAAUAAAUAAAAAUACAAUUCAAACGAUAUUGGUGAGAUUUGAAUCAAUAAUCUCUUAUGAAAGAGAGAUUUUGGUGUAUCAAAGAAAAGUGAAAAAUCCUAACUGAUUUUCUUAAAAUUGAUAUCGAUAUUUUAAGUCUAAGCACGUCUUAAAAGCUAGUUUGUUGACAAAUGGGAUCUUCUGUCCCACAAUUUAGUGUGUACCACCGUCACUACAAAAAAACGCGUAAUUACCGGCGAAAAUUACCGGCGGCGAUGUUGCCGUCGGUAAGUAACGGCGGCAUUUCAGGCGACCCGAACUUUCGCAAUCACCGGCCAAUUACCGACGGCAAAAUCGCCGUCGGUAAGUGGCGGCGUUGUUGCCGCCGUUAAUUUUAAAAUACGCAAUAAUUAAUUAAUUUUAUACAAUUAGCGGCGGCAAUUGCCGUCAGUAAUUGUUAAAAUAUAGGGCAGCGUAUUCCAUUCUUUUUUCAGUUUUGUGCCGCACACGAACAGAAACCCCCCCCCUUCCCCUGCUGCUGCUGCUUCCGGUCCGACCGCCUCCGCCGUCCGCCGCCGCCGCGUAGGUAACUCUCUCUCUCUUUCUUGCUCUCUAUCUCUCUCUCUCUCUUUUUAAUUUAAUUAUAUAUAUAUAAUUAUUUAAUUUUCACUUAUAUUCUUUAUUGUAGUUCGACGACCUCGUUUCGCCGCCUUCUUCACGACACCCACCGGAAACCACCACCGUACGCUCUCUUAUUUAUUUAUUUAAUUAUUUAUGAAUUUAUUUAUGUAUUUAUAUGUUAAUUAAAUAGAUUUAUUUGUUAUAUAUAGUUAAUUAAUUUAUAAUUGGCUUUGUUUAUAAAUAAAUUAUAUGAAGGAAGCAUGAAUAAUUUUAAAUUAUAUUAAUCAAUUAAUAUAUGUUGUUAGUUUAAUUUUAAAUUAUGAAGCAUGAUUAAUUUUAAAUUAUAUUAAUUUUAAUCAAUUAGUUUAAGUUGUUUGUUAUAAUAAUUUAUAUAUGUUGGAUAAUUUUGUUAAAUUAAAUGUUAUGUGCUAUGUGUUUAUGAAAUGUUAUGUUAUUAUAUAUAUUGUGGGAUAGAUUUAAUCAAUUUCUUAAGGAUCUUCUCCCUUUGGGAUAGAAAUUGAUUAUUUCUUAAGGAUCUUCUCCCAACAAAUGAUUGUUUUUAAUUUAAUUACCUUGAUUUUUAUUGCUUUUAUUUGUAUUGUAUUAUUGAUUCGACAUUGGGGGGCACGUGGGCGGGUCUCAGUCGACUCGUAUCCUGCAGCAGUAUAUGGUAUGUAAUUAAAAAAAUAUUAAGUUCAUAUAUAUAUAUAUAUAUAGGGGCGCGCUCCAGUGAGACCCCCUAUUUUCGUGUAACAUGAGUACAAUGAAUAAGACAUAUAAUACUAAUGAACAAACGUAUAUAUAAUGAACAAGAUGUAUAUACUGAUGAAAAUAAAUUUAAAAUUACGUAAUGAAUAAGACAUAUAUAGUGAUGAACAUGGCCGUGUAUACUGAUGAAUAACAAAUUUAAAUAUUCUGCUCCCUUCAGGAUUCGAACCCUGCGAAAAAUCACCGUCUAGAUACAAUAUCAGUCAUAGGAUUGAUAAAUAACGCACCGGAUCGUGCCCUAGAUCUCACUAAAAUUAGGGAGUCUCAUUGGAGCGGCCUACUAUAUAUAUAUAUAUAUAUAUAUAUAUAUAUAUAUAUAUAUAUAUAAUAUCUUGACUAAUAUAACUUAUUUAUCUUAUAUAAAUGCAUCUACAGAGCUUGGAGCCUGAUUUUCCCCAGGAUGCACCGAACUAUGCCACCUUCCUCCGCCUCCACAUGUACGCCGACGGAAGUUAUACGUCGGAGAGAGAUGCAAGAAUUGACGUAAGUGUUUAAGUUUAUUCAAAUAUUUAGUGAAUGUAUUUAUUUUCUAACAAUUAUGCAUUGUUAUGUAUGAAUUAGGCCGAGGUUCAUCGACUGGCCGCUGCCACAGGACGAGAGUCACGGCUAGAUGAGGUGUAUUUGGAGGUGGUGCAUCCGGAUAGGUCACGGAUCUACGGCGUCGGGAGUGCCGGGCAGAGUCAGGCUAGUAGGGGGUCUAUCCGCAGCACGGGCACUUCUGCGGUGUCUCAGCAGCUUUAUGAGACACAGAUCUCCACGCUGGAGGAGCGAUUGGCGGCAGAGCAAGCAGCACGCCAAGAGAUGCAGGACCGCAUGGCGGCAGAGCAAGCAGCACGCCAAGAGAUGCAGGACCGCAUGACUCAAUUGGAGGCGUUUAUGAGGAUGUAUAAUGCUCAGCCACCUCCACCCCCUGAUGCCGAUGAUGAUGAUGAUGAUGCUUAGGACUUUCCGUCUUUUAUUACCAUGCUAGACUUAUAUUUAUGUUUUCAAACAAAAUUACAUUUGCACUUUCUUUUCAAAUUUAUGUUUUAUUGAACUAUAUAUUUCAAGUGCUUUAAUAUUAAACUAUAUAUGUUUUAUAUAUUUAUGGCAAUGAUGAUGAUGAUUGCAUUUAACAUAAACAAAUAAAUUCAAAUCACAUUAUAAUAACCAAAUUAAAACACUUUUGGUGUAUUAAUGUUAAUUUUAUUAAUUAAUAUUUAAUUAAUAAUUAAAUAUUUUACCGACGAUAAAAAUAAGGACCGAAACGAACUCGAUCACUAAUUAACAACAUAUUUCAGGUAUUAUCUCCACAUAUUCAAAGAUUAUAAAUAUAUGAGUGAGUAUAUAGCAUUUAAAUGAAUUAAUAGAUGUAGAUAUAUCAAUAAUACGAGUGUUCUGUACUGGUGACCACUCGAAAAGAAUUUCAAAGUUAAGCGUGCUUGACACAGAGCACAAGCAAGAUGGGUGACCCACUGGGAAGUCGGGUCACCGACUGGGAAGUUCGUCUAAAGUAUGCAAUACCGUAUAAAUACGGAAAUAAAUUGUGGAUAUACAAUAAAAUAAAUACUCCCUCCGUCCCAUUAUUUAUGGGACAACACUGUUGGGCACGGAGAUUAAGAAGAGUAGAAUGAAGGGAAUUGUUAUUGUUAAUUAACACACACACGUGCACUUACACACUCUCACGCACACUCUCUCUCUCGGCCUCUCUCUCGCCGGACCGGUACACGGCGGCGGGGCCGCCGGCGAGCGCCGCCUCGUCGGCCCCUCUCCAUCCCCCUCGUCGGCCCCUCUCCGGCCACUGUCCAAAUCGACAAGCAAAAUUCCAACAACCAAAUUUUCAGAAUUUCAGAGAACCAAAUCAACAACCAAAUUUCAGAGAACCAAAUUUCCAGAAAUUCCAAGAACCAAAUCGACAAGCAAGAUUCCAAAUCAACAAUUAAAAUCAACAACCAAGAUCGAAAUUAAAAUUUCAAACAAGAUCGAAAUUAAAAAUUUCUAGAAUCAAAUCAACACAAUAAUUUUGAAGAGAGAAGGCGUGGUGCGCAGAUCGACGCGGGUGGACGGCGGACGUGGACGACGCGAGUAAAUCCCCCAAAUCGUUGGAAGCACGACGGCGGUGGAAGGACGAUGGCAGUGGGAGAUGGUGGAGCCCCAAAUCGGAGCCCUAAAUCCCCAAACUCACCGUCGACUUCCCUUCGUCCCCAAAUCCACGAGGCUUCUUCUCCGCGAGGCCGACCAUGUCGACGACGAUGGAGGCGGCGCUGGAGGAAAGCGGCGUGUUAGAGGAGGGCGGCGCGCUGGAGGAAGGAGUGAGGCCAAAGGUGUCGGCUACUGGUAGCAGCGAGCAAGCUUCUUCUUGUCGGCGACGCCCCCUCCUUCGCAAGCUUGAAGCUUUCUCGGCCGCCGGUCAUUUCUUCACCGCGGGCUUCUU